UUUUGCUCUCUCUCUCUCGCCUCUCAUUCCUGAGUAUUGUUUUGGGUAAAACUUCUCUGCCCCAAGCGCACACCAUCUCCGGCCCUGGUCGCUGCUUCCCCUGCUCGCAGCGCUGCCUCUCGCGCCCCAUCUCUCCACUUUUUCUCUCUAAAUCCUUGAAUUUUUUAGUGAAACCUCAUCUCUCACACGUCAUCUCUCCAAUCUUUCUCUCUCUAAAUCCCUGUGAUUUUUUUGGGAACAACCUCAUCUCUCGCACACCAUCUCUCCACUCUCUCGAAAUCCCUAUGGCUUUUUGGGGUAAAACCUUAUCCCUCGCUUACAAUCUCUCCACUCUUUCUCUCUCAAAAUCCAUAUGUUUUUUUGGUAAAACCUCAUCUCUAGCACACCAUCUCUCCACUCUUUCUCUCUCUGAAUCCCUGAUUUUUUUGGGGUAAAACCUCAUCCCAAAUCCAUGCUCACUGCCCCUCGCGUACCAUCUCUGCCCUGCUCGCUGCCCACUCUUUCUCGCUCGAAAUCCUUGUGUUUUUUUUUUGGGUAAAACCUCAACCAUCUCUCCACUCUUUCUCUCUCUAAAUCCCUGUGUUUUUUUUUUUUGGAUAAAACUUCAUCCACUACCCUAAUCGAUGCCUCUCACUCCCGUCUCUUAAAGCCCAAAACUUUUUGGUAGAACCAAAUCCUCAAGCAUCAGUUAUGAUUUUUAUUUUUCUGUUGCAAUGGAUUUUUUAGGUGCAUCUAUAAUUCAACAUUUUAAGGUUACAACAUAUAUAAACUUUUUCCUUUCAAAAUUCCAUCUUAGAGACAAUCUAAAAUACAUUAAAGUUACUCUUGAUGAAUUUCCUUGAGAUCCAUGAAUUACGGUUUGUUAACAGUGAUAUAGCAUUUCUGAGUUGUUUUAAACUUUUAAUUGCAGUCUUGAAUUUUUUUUCGUUUGCUAACAGUGAUGUAACAUUUUUUAUGGUGAUCAUUUUGGUUGAGAAAAAUAAUUUACAUUGAUUAAAUAGUAUUUUUGUAGAUGUUUACAGUGAUUCACGAGUAGUAGCAUGUUUCUGAAAAUAUAUUUUUAACAUUCAACACAACCAAAAAAUCUCACAAUAAGUAUAGAAUUAUUAUGUGAUUUUCAUGAGCUAGGCCUUUUACAAUAGUCCAGUAGCUUCACUCUUGAUGAUAUACAUAAAGUUUGUGCACAUUGCAUAUUAUUUGUUAUGGUGAUCAUUACAGUUUGUUAACAGUGAUGUUGCAUUUCUGAGUUGUCUUGAACUUUUAAUUGCAGUACUCAAAAUUUUCUUGGUUUGUUAACAGUGAUGUAGCAUUUUUUAUAGUAAGCAUUAUGGUUGAAAAAAACAAUUUGCAUUGAUUAAAUAGCAUUUUUGCAGAUGUUUAGAGUGAUUCACGAGUAGUAGCAUGAUUCUAAAAAUAUAUUUUUAACAUUCAACACAACCAGAAAAUCUCACAGUAAGUAUAGAAUUAUUAUGCAAUUUUCAUGGGCUAGGCCUCUUACAAUAGUCCAGUGGCUUCACUCUUUAUGAUAUAUAAAGUUUGUUCACAUUGCAUAUUAUUCUUUAUACUCUUUAUGAUACAUAAAGGUUGCUCACAUUGCAUAUCAUUAAACUUUUAAUUGCGGUACUCGAAAUUUUCUUGGUUUGAUAACAACGAUGUAGCAUUUUUUAUGGUGAUCAUUACGGUUGAGAAAAAUAUGAUUGGUAAUCUUAAGAUGAAUGUUUGAAUACAAGUAUUUUUGUAGUUUGCAGUUUCACAUUGGGUAAAGUAAAAAAUAUGAGAUGGAUCCCACUAAUUCAGUCGGUGUGACAUCUAACACAUGCCCAAAUGUAGACAGCAUUGAUGAAAUCUCGGAAGGUGGUUGUGGCUCUCCAAACAUAGGCCAAGAAAUAGAAAUAGAAGAACCAUGUGUAGGAAUGAUGUUUGGAUCAGAGGAUGAUGCAUAUGAGUUCUUUAAGUCCUAUGCAUUGAGCAAAGGUUUUGGUAUUUGUGGGGGGAGUACUUAUAACAAGAAAGGUAAAUGGAUCAAUAGGGUUUAUGUUUACUCGAAGAAAAGGUUUAAACAAGAAAACCCUAAUAAAAGUGGAAAGGUUUACCCUGAGUUAAGGUGUGAGUGCAAGGUUAGGAUGUGCAAAAGUAGUCAAGAUGAUGGCGAAUGGAAAGUGACUAGCGUCGUUAGAGUUCAUAAUCACGAUCUAGUUAGUCCAAGAAAAGCGCAUCGAAAUCAUAAACACCGAUCAUUGUCAAGUGCUACAAAGUCACUGAUAUAUUCAAUGAACUCAACACUAGUUGGCUUAGACAUAUUCAUGACAUAUUCAUAAAACAAGCUAGAGGGAUCGACAAUGUCCCUUGUACACAAAAAGACAUCCAAAAUGAAAUAACAAGUGCUAAAAAAAACUUAGAGGAGAAGAAGCAAUGGCCCUAUAAAAAAAAUUAAUCGAACCCAUCAUUUUUCUAUAAAUUGAGAUUAGAUGAUGACGAUCACAUUCGCAGUAUCUUAUGGGUAGAUUCUACAUCUAGAGUUUUCUACUAGUGCUUUUAUGAUAUGGUUACCCUUGAUACCACAUAUAAGAUAAAUACGUUUGGUAUGCCGUUUGCACCUAUACUUGGUGUAAAUCACCAUUUUACUAUAACGUUUUUUGGAUUCGCACUCAUAUUUGACGAAAAAAUAGAAUCAUUUAUAUGGGUAUUUGAAAACUGGUUGGAAGCCAUGGGUGGACGGUAACCAGGCAUCAUUCUCACUUAUCAAGAUCCUACAAUUUCAUAUGCAGUGAGACAAGUUCUUUAUCAAAGUAAGCAUCAUUAUUGUAAGUGGCACAUAUUUGCGAUGAUUAAAGAAAAAAUGUGUCAUGUCUUACGUAUGCAUCAUUCUUAUUCAAAUACCUUUAAGAGGUGUGUGGCUAGCCUAACAAUUGAAGAACUUGAAUUGGGAUGAAUAUCAAUGAUUGAGAAUUAUAAGCUGGAUGACAAUGAAUGGCUUAGUAGGCUUUAUGGUUGUCGCAUACAAUGGGUUGAUGCAUACUUGGCUGGCAUGUUCACUGUGGGUAUGACCACUACUCAAAGGAGUGAAGGGAUGAAUACACAGUUCAAAAUGUACUUAACACCCACAACAAGCUUGCGUACAUUAUUAGAAGUUGUUGCAAAAGUCCAAGAUAAGGUACGAAAACAGAGGAAAAAUGACUUGAAAGAUAUUCAAACCACUCCAGUCUUGCAAACAACCACCUUCAUUGAGUCACAUGCAUAAAAAAUCUAUACUCAAAAGAUUUUAAAGAUAUUUUAGAGAAGAGGUGGCUAAUUGCUUUAAUUUUAUGAGGGACACUGUUGAAGACAAUAGACAGGUUGGUACCUUUAAGGUGGCAGUCCCGGGGACCGGAUCUAGACCCUAUUUAGUGAAAUUCAGUUGCUAUGACAAUUUCAUUUCUUGCAAUUGUCACUUCUUUGAGAGGAUGGGCCUUCUUUGCAGGCAUGUAUUGAAGAUUUUUAUGAUAGAUGAUGUGUUUGAAAUCCCUACACAAUAUAUAAUGAGGCGUUGGACCAAGGUUAUAAAGAAGGGAGUUUUUGUUGAUGACAUUGAGGAUCAAAUUCAAGUAACAUCUAAACUACCACGCUUCAGUAGAUAUGUUGAGGCUAUGCAGGCACGUCGAUCCCUUGCGGAGCAUGCUUCACAAAGUGUAGAGGCCAUGAGUUUGUAACGUCCAUAAUACAAAAUAGAAUUCAUCAGUUUGAUGAAAAGUUUGUGUGCAAGGGAGGUCCACAGGAUAGUGUCAUGAGUCAUGUCAAUGAAGAUGACAAGUCUGGUAAUCGUUGUAACACACCAAGUGGAAGUAACCAUUGCCACAAUGUCCUUGAACCUGCGUGAGCAUGGACAAAGGGACGACCGGCCACUCAAAGAAUGAAAGCUCGUUUCGAGCAAUGAAAGCCCAAGACGAAAAAAAAGAAAUGCGCAGUUUGCAAUGGCAGUGGACAUGACAAAAAGAGCUGCCCGUCGUUCGUUUGUGAUAGCUAAGGACAAAACACAUUGUAAGCUUCAAACCCAUAAGGAACCAGCAGAUGUGCAUAAGAAGCAAUUGUUGUGAAGGCAUGUUUGCAAUGUACAUACAUAAAUCCUUAUUUGAGUCUUGAUUUGUUCCUGGUGAAAUAGAAAAGCAUUGUAUCCUUAAUUGUUGACCAAUUUGCUUAUGUUUUUUGUGUUUGCCUUUCUUCUUUUUCUUUGGUAAUCAAACAGUCACUCCUUAGGGCAAAAGCAUGAGAUAGAUUAGGAGGCCUCAUGGAAGGAGCUAAGGCCUUUUGCAGACCAAUCUGUUGACCUGCCAAGGAGCUAAUUUGAAAGACCAUUUAUUUGAGAUGUAAAAUCCUUUUGAUGUGUUAAUCUGAAAGUUGUGGUAGAUGCUUUGUGUGGCCUUGGGUUUAAGUUGCAAAAAAGCUGGUGAUUUUCAUGUGCAUUAA